GUUUCGUCAGAGGCUCAGGUGUGUUAUGCUAGUAGCUGCUAGCCUCGACUUGUUGGCCACGUGUUGGGACGAGGAGCAGGCUACAGAAGUCUGAUAAACCAACACUCAGGUGUCCUGUCCUGCGUCUCGUGCCAUGCAGUCUGCGUGGGGUUUUUUUUUUUACGUUUGCCGCACCUCUUUGAUGAUGAUCUUGCCGUUCUGGUGGAUGGUGCUGUUGUUGACCAUGCCCACAAUGGCCACGCCCAGGUUACACCGGAUGCCGAAGGAGAUGCAGAAGCCCAGGCCGCUCAUGAUGGCGAUGACAUAGCGGCGGGGCAGACCGAAGCACUUGCAGUCGCACAGCGGGGGUUUCUUCUCCGCGGCCUCCCGGGGCCGCCCGUCCUCCGUCAGCUCGAUCACGUCCCCGGUUUUCUGUCUCCCCUCCAUCACCCUGCAACAGCCAGAAAUCUUAUAAUUGUCCCGCAGCAGGAGCAGGGAGGAGGAGACGAGCACGACGAGCCUGCAGCUUCUGUCUCACCACGAUACGACUGACAGGGUGGAUUCAUGGCAGUGUAAUGGAGGUACUUGGUUUUCAAAUGCACAGUUUUUAAAAAGAGCUCUUCCCUAAACAUAGCACACUCAAAUAACAGAACUGACAAUCUAAUAGCCCAGCUAUAGAUCAGUGGAACUAAACAUUUUGUAGCUACCAAUUCUAAAAGAAAGUAAUCUGAGGAAUAAGCACCGCCUAGUUAAUUUUCUUAUAUAUAUCAAUGUGUUUCAUAUCUGAUAUAUUUGUAAGUUUGAAUGUUUACUACAUUCAUAGUUAAAUGAUAUGAACUCCCAACCACAAUUACCAUCAGACAACUUCACAACUGACACGUACUAUAUAUUCUUGUCCAAACCGUUCAGUCCUUCGUCUUGUUUCUCAGUAGAAGAAUCACACGCAGAAAAUUAAAUGAAUAAUGCCAUAACUAAUUACACCUAAUGUCACAUCUUCAACAUCAAAACCCUAUCAGCACAUACAGAGUCAGUCAGUCAUGACAAAUGGAGAGUUUGAAUGUAUCACAUGUAUCAAUGUAACACCUUCCAAUGAUUUUUUAUGGCACAAAAAAGUUUCAUCCACUGUAAAAGCUGAUUUAAAGUA